GCGAAUCUGGUACCGGGACUUGGGGAGCGAGGGAUGCAACAUGGUGCAUCUGGGAGGCCUGCUAACUGGCUAACUUCUCCGGCGUUCCUCCCGGCCGAGGCGUGGGCACAGAAUAGCGCAGGUCAGUAUGUACCUCGUUUUGUAUAUUGUCUUGAAACUUUACUCCUUUGUAUGUUUGAAGACAUCAUUUUCCAGUUUUGGAGCCGACUAAUGAACUAGUUCUUAAGUGAAAGGCAUUUAACACGACUGUGCAUCUACAGGUACUAGGUUUCCAAGAUGCCUUUCCAGACUAAAACCCACACAUGUGAGCCGCUGGCCGGACAAACAUCUGGCACCUAACGUGGGGCUGAAAAACAGCAGAGGACAUUUGGAAGAAACACUGCUGGUUUGGAGCUCCAUAGAAGAAGAAAAUAAUUAAAGGAAAUUCAUACCAGAGAAGGAAGCUGCAGCUCCUCUCCUCUGGAUCUUUAUGACCACACCAGGAAGCAUUGUGAUCUGCAGUCACUGCCAACCUGCAGGAUAACACAGCUUGUUCCUCUGGGAACUGCCCUGCAGUGUCUGCAUACAGCCACCCUCGACCUGUCUGCCUGGUCUUUGCAACCUCUAGUGGCUGUUGUUCCACAAUGUGUUGUGAAGAGACCUGAAUGGUUUGCACCAAAACACAAACACAAACCAUUGGGAGAGUGAUUGGUGAAGUGAUGGACAUUUACUCGGGCAAAGGCAUGCAUGUAAAAUAGUCCCUAUCUGGAUGGACCUACGCCUGUGGCAGGAAGUUCACUGGUCAAUUACCUGCUGACUGAAGUGGCCUAUUUUCUUCUGACCCCCUGCUUCUCUCUUCCCCUCUCCGCCCUGAAAGCUGUUUGGGCAUAGGGAGGUCUUGACCUGAGGAAACCAUCUUGGGUAACCAAGGCAAGGAAAGGGAAUAUGCAACACCUAGGAGAUUUCAGCAAACAGUAGAAUCAUGCCAACGUAAUCUGUGUUAAAAUGCUUGGAAUGUGGGAGCCGCCGGUGAUGUCUGUUGUCUGUGUGUCUCCAGUAAUCCUUUCUUUUUUAAGUGCAGCAAAGCCAAGCCUGGAAACCAGGCCAAGCGCCUGCCACUUACCUUAAAUUUAUCAGCCACUUUGAGAUUAAAACCCCUGAAAGCUGCUGCACAGUGAAAGCAAGGCCUCCUUCACAUUAAAGGCAAAUCGCAACUCUG